UAUUUACAUAUAACUCCCUGUAGUUUACAUUGUGCCCCUGAUUCGGAUCACAACAAUUAAUCGCGAUCCGAAUAUUUACAAAUAGCCCCCUAUUAUUUACAAUUUACCCCCUGGUUUGCGCUGCCUAUCGCCUUCCGCCGCCGUCGUCUCCUGCCGCGGCCGGAGGCGCAAAGCCCCGUCCCGUCCUCUCCCCUGGAACCCGCAACAAGCAGCGGAGGAGGCGCCCUGGAUCCGAAGAAUCUUACGAGCCGAGCGAGCAGCCGCUCGUUCGAAGCUCGAAGAAUCUUACGAGCGAGCGAGCAGCGGCCACCCACCGAUGCCGCCGGCUGCCGCAGCUGUGCUGCAGAAGAAGCCUGACGGCGACGAGGGCGAGAAGGCCGGGUAGCCACGCCCACGCAGCUACGGCGCUCAGGAGGACCGGUCGUCCCACUGCCCCAGGAAGGCUUUAAUCGACGGGCACCCAAUCCUCGUCCCUCGAGGAUGAGAUGCGGCGGCGGCAGCCUCUUCGACGGAUGGAGUAUGCAGGCAUACACUAAUUUGUGAAGCUGCAAGGAGGUGUGCCUUUCUUUGCUGAAGUCUCCAUUUGGGCUUCCUCUGUCUUAAAGUUGUUUGUCUCUGGCUCUUCACAACUCUCGGCUCUUCCUGAGGUUCUUGAGUGUUCUUUUGUAUGCAUUUCAUCCAUGCCACCUGCUUCUCUUCUCAAUGCCACAAAAUGCCGAAGAAAUGCCCAAAGCAGAGUUAUGAACUCGCCUCCGGAAUGGAUCUUGGACUUGUGUGCUUCAGCAUUCCCAUUGGGGCCAAAGUGCACAAGUAAACUAGAAGAGGAAAGAAGCACUGCUUCAAACUUUCCAAGGCCAAGUUUAUUUAAUUAUGGUAAACCAUAUGCAAGCUAAAAGUUGAAGAAAUAGCAGAUGAGCAGCUAGAUUGCAUCAACAGUAGCAAAAACGGUAGUAGGUAUAGCCUGCAAAACAUCCCCCAAAACAAGAGUAAGCCACUUCCUGCAUGCAGAUGCGCUCAUUGGGAGAUGGCUUAGUGCAGAGAAGUCCAAUGUUUAGAACUGAAAGCGAACACUCUAAGCUUUUCUCCUUCAUGGCCAAUGAAGUUUCUUGAGAUAAGUUCUGUUGCUCUUCUAGUAGUUCUGGAUCUAUAAUCCGUGGUAUCAUGUCAGGGAAGUUCAUCUCAACAAAUUUUGUUAUCGCAGUUUAUUUAAUUUCGUUGUUUUCUUAUUCUGAAGGUUGAAGGAGCUCCUGGGACUGCAGAUGAUGUUGUAAGCACAUUAAUGCAGAAAUAUCGGGACUCUGCUCUGCUGUCUGCUCUUCCUCUUAGAGCCUACUGUGAUUUUGGUAGCCACAGGUUCAGUCAAUGGUUCCUAUGCAUUCUUUUUUUUAAAAAAAAAAUUAUUUUCCCUCUCAAAUGCAAUGCCUGUCUGAAUUGUUACAUUGUUCAGUGAAUUAUCUAGUGAGUAGUAUUUAUCCUCCUGCCGUUGGUAAUCCAUUUGCCUUUAAGCUUCAUGCUGCUGGAGGAUCGACAGCUUCUGCAGCCGGCGAAGGAAAUCAAAUUAGUAACUUAUCAAGGUGCACCUUCGUGCUGCUCCUCUUGUUAUGGGACCUUCAGCGUGCGGGGUUUCGGAGGGCUGCUCUCGCCAGAGCUAUGCGCGCAACGCCAUCGAUGGAGAUGUUGUAGUAGAAAAGGGAGGA